rnacentral:lncRNA from 1 species
AAACAUAUUGUUCUCUGAAUUAAUUUUCUUUCCAUUUACAUGCAUGUACAUUUUACCCUAGCUCGAUCUUUCCGGGCUUCAAAUAGACGAAGAGGUGUUGAAGAGGAUCUGUAAGCACCUUGAUCCAGUGAUCUAUCCCAAAGGAAACUAUAUUAUUCGAGAGGGGGAGCCUGCUGAUAUGAUGUUCUUCAUCACCCAGGGCAUUGCACUCUCGUACACCGCUGAACACUCGGUGCCCAUUAUGCGUCUUGAGAAAGGAGAGUGUUACGGUAAAGAGCUGCUAAGCUGGGCAGCAACGGCAUCAACCUCCUUUUCUGACUUACCUAUCUCACUCCAUACUGUCAAGGCACAUAAAAAUGUUGAAAUCUUUGCUCUCCACGCUGCUGAUUUACAGUGGGUUUUGUCUCACCCGCCAAGCCCCAAGAACGACAUCAUCCCUAGUAAGGUCCGGCGUAGAAAUAAUGUAUCACGAUGGCCAUAUUUUAACAUAAAUUUAGUUGAAUAAACUAAUUAAUACAUGUAUUUUAGAUAUGACUAAAAGUAGCUAACAUUGCAACAGAAGCUGGCUCUAGUGAACUCUAUAUCUCGACACAAUGGCACCUACUUUAUGUUGAACUUAUUAUUCAUAAAUAUGCGAAAUGAGACUCUUCAGUUACUCUCAUUUAUAAUUUAUAACGUUUAUAUAUCUCGCUCCCAACUUUUACAGGUGUCGGUGAGAAUCAAAUGGAAUGAGAAAGUAGGUUGAUUGGGGACUAGCUACUACUAGUUCUUUGAUCACUGACCUUUGUUCUCCGUCUUUGAAUUUUUAAUUGUCCUUUGAUCCUUUCAUCACCUUGGCCUUCUUAUACAUCCAUUAAGCACUUCGUUGUUUGUUUCCUUUCACUGCAUAUUUAUUUAUCAUGGUUAAAGAAGUUCCCACCAUGCUCAUUGCUCAAGCGAGUUCCUUCCUCUCUGUCUCAAGGUCCUCAUCAAGUGUGCUCAAGUGCAUGUAUUCACUGUGAAAUACGAUGUUGAAGUUGAACAAGUGACCAAUUUCGGGGAUUUGAUCGAAUAACCAAAAUAUCGAACAAGUUAUGACUGAGUUACCAAUGUGAUAACUCUUUUCUCUCCUGAUUUAGUAUUGGACUAAAUUCAGUUUAUCUUAUUGAGGUUUAGGUCAAAUAUUGUGUUCACCCUAGAUCUUUCAAUUUAAUCAAAAACACUCUUGAACAUCUUACUUUCAUCAGUCAUGUCCAAUUUCACUCGUUUUGGUCCAAAUUAAUUAGACUUAAACUCGCAAGAUGUGGCUUGCGUUAAUGGAUGAAAUGAUCAUUAUAAAGCACGUCUUCUCUGAACUUUAGAAAUUUUACCAUAAACAUAUGAUAUUAUAAUAAUUUCAUAAACAUAUCAUUAUAGCAAAAUGUUCAAAUUUUGGAGUCAAGUGUGCUUGAAAUGAUCAAUCUAUCCCCUAAAGUAGACAACAUCAUUAGAAUUAAUAUCCAAUUUGUACAAUAACUAGAGAAAUUUGACCCAACUGAUGAAAUUAGAAAGUUAAAGGGUGUACUUGAUUAAAUUGAAAGAAUAAGGACUAAUAUGACGUCAGACUCAAACGUCAUGAGAGUAAACUGAAUUUAAUCCUUCACGUUGUGUUUGAUGCAUAUUUUAUAAAUUCUUAAGAAAUUUUGAAAUGAUGGAAUUUAGAACUUCGUCAAUUUAAAUUCUGUUAAUUCUAAAUUCUAUUGUUUGGUUGUAGUUAAUAUAAAAAAUAUCUGUUCACAUCAAACUAUCGAAUACAUUUUCAACUUUGAAAAUACAAUCUUAUUUUCUUAUUUUCAUUUCUAAAAAUUAUUUUUUAAAAAUCAUUUUCAAAAACGUCACUAGACAGGCCAAUUUCUCAUUUUUUAUGUUUUAAAAUCAUUUCCAGCUCAAUGAAAGGAAAAAAAAAAACAGGAAUUGCAGUCUGUUAUUACUUAUUUAUUUUAGAUAAAAUGAAAAUCUUUAUUUAAAUCAAACAUGAAGAGGUACGUACAAUCUUAGGGCAUGUUGGUGAUAAAACUACAAUUUGACUUCUUGACUCACCAAUAAAGUAAUUGUGAGCCCUUGGGGAAUUGUUUUCAUCUGUUUGUCCUUGGCAAAAGCCAUCGCCACAGCGCCUCUAGUGGUGAUGAAAAAUCUAAAUAACUGAUCAAAUUGAGAUCAAGAAACGUUUUUGGCGGCUCAGUUCACAGUUUGGCCGUUGGCUGAAAGAGAAAAGAGUAUCUGCAGACAACCUUCUGAUGUCAAAAUCAGUAAAAUAAGUUAGUAAAAUACCCCCUUCUCGGAAGCAGGUUGUCUACGUAUAACUGAAUCAAUCCGAAUAAUUGCAAACACUUGCAAAUCGCAAUGCAUCUGCAAAUGUUAAUAUUAUAAACUCCAAUGUGCUUUCAUGGUCAAUCUAUCCGGACUCAUUCUUGAAUGCUAGGAAGCCACACUUCUUGUUUACCGAGUCGUCUUCUGUCAUUUGCUAGUGGGAAGAAAGACGUACGUACUCACCAGGCGAUCUUUCGAGUCGUACGUCUGUCAUUUGCUAAUGAGACAUUGACUUGCUCCACAGUCAUCGACUCAUUUCCGGGAGCGUAUAUAUAACUAUAACAACUUGCGUUAAUUUAAGCUCUUUUUUCUUCUACAAAUAGCAACUUAAUUGCCUUAAUCGUUCAGCAGUCUUGUGUAGUUGUGUUGUUCGAUAUUCAGAAGUUGAUCGAUCGGUUUUUCUGCAUCUUCAUCUGCACGUUUCCAGUUUCAGCGGCUUAAUUGAUCAAGUAGAGAUGGAUAUGGAGUCUAGUGACUCUUGUAGCCGUGCAUGGUACGUUAGUUUUCUUCAUUCUCUCAGAACAUUUCCUUCGCUGAGUACGUAUACAUAAAUUUUGUUGAUAUUAUUAUUAUGUUUUUUCUUUCUUUCUUUCUUUUUUUCAAUCAAAACCAAUAAACCGUUCAGUACGUAUUCUGUACAAGCGUCCUCUAAUUUAGUUUCUUCAUGCAGUAUGUACGUACGUGUCUUCAGGGAUAUGCCUGGUCAGCUUGAAAACUUUUUGUCAAAGAUCGAAGAGAAGAGGAGUGAUAAUCUGAACAUCGCUUUUCCUUUCUGGAGAGUAGUUCACAAACUUAUAUAUGCAACUUUUUAUCUCCCAGGGGUGUUGCUCGCAGCAAUAAUACACCCGGAAAAGACUGAAUAUUUUAUCUACUCGAGUUGUAUCACUAUGUUACUGGAUCCUUUGUUUCUGUAUGUUCCUCUUAUCAAUGAAGAAACUAAGUGCCUCAGGCCGGACAAGACAUUGAUGAUAGUAGCUCUGAUUCUGCGAACCGUCACAGAUCUUCGUUAUGUAUCGAAAAUACUUCAUAAGAUUGAGAAAUGGUGGGGAGAAUAUAAGGGGAAAUCCAUAGAGAAACUAGGUAUCACAAGCAACAUGGUCGCUAUUCUUCCUAUUCCACAAGUAAGAUAUAUCGAUAAAGCCUUUCUAGAGUAGCUAAAUUGUUUCUCUUUUAUUCCUAAUAAUCUUUAAGAUUCAGAAUUAAUGUUUUUCAAUAUGCGCAGCUCGCCAUUUUAGUUUUCCUUCCAAACAUGAGGGGCUCUGGAUCAAUGACCAUCAUGAAGUUUCUUAACUCGCUUAUAUUUUUCCAAUACGUGCAACGAGCUUAUCCUAUCUAUAGAUACUGUAAGAAUCUUAACAAGGAGAUGCAUAACAGGAGUAGUACUACGCGGGCUUGGAUUCCAAGUUUAGUCAAUCUUCUCAUAUACCUCGUUGCCAGUUAUGUAAGUUCUCAUCUUAUCUGGUACCCCAAGUUUUAAAAUUAUCAUAAUGGCACGUCAAUUUCUUGUUUUGUCAUGUACUUUGAUUGACGGCAUGAUUUGACAGAGAGUAUCAAGAUAUAUGCAGAAUGAAAGUAAUAGUUUGAAACUUGAGUUUGUAUUAAUUGGCUUAAAAUUUGAAUACUGCAAUUUGUUAAUUUUACAUGUUUCUUGGUUGGUUGGUUAGGUACUCGGAUCGAUUUGGUAUUUGUUCUCUAUCCAACGAGAGCUAGAUUGUUGGAUAGAUGCUUGUCAAAAAGAAAAAAAUUGUGAGUUUGAUGUUCGGUGUGACACCAAAACAUUCAUAAAUGUUACGUUUCUACAUACUUCAUGCCCUAUAAAUUCACCGAAUGCAACAAUAUACGAUUUUGGUAUAUUUCUUCCUGCUCUUCAAUCUGGCAUGCAAGAAUCUACAGAUUUAACAGAAAAAUUCUUAAUAUGUUUCUCAUGGGGCGUACGCAAUUUGAGGUUUGUAUUUUUCCCUGUGAAUUCUUGAUUUCUUAUAAAGUGGAACUUUAAAACUUUCUUACACAUGUCGAGUCUAUGUUACUGAGCGUUGUGCUCCUAGUCAUUUUUAUAAGACUAUUUAUUCAUGUAUUAAACUUCUCCAAUGGAUUUUUGCAGUUCUUUUGCUUCAAACAUCAACACUAGUAACUAUCGAUGGGAAAUCCUAUUUGUGGUUGCUAUCUCUAUAAAUGGCUUGAUACUAUUCAUAUAUUUCCUCGGACACGUGCAGGUUUGUCAUUAGUCUUUGUACAUAUAAUAUUUAUUAAUUUAGGCUAAUCGAGAUUCUCAUAACUACUUUAAAUUAUAUGUUAGAGCUACUUCACCAACUUGAAAAAAAAGAAGAUUUAAUUAUCUAUUGUUUAUAAAGACACGUACACAGACUAGCUUAUAAGUUAAAAUAUGUAUAGUUAGAAAACUAAAUUGUAGUGCAUGCAUACAAAAUUUUUCUAGGCGAGAGUGCAAUUUACUUCGAUUUCACUAAAUAUAAACUUUUGGUCUAAUAUAAGGAAUAUUCAACAAUACCUCCAUGUAUAUGAUACACUCGUUUACAUAUCUGAUAUUGCGGUAAGUAGAGUUAUUGUUUAUGUAAUUUUAGUUCUAUUAGUUGUAAUUAUUGUAUGAAAUGGCAACAAGUUUUUUUACGUACCCAUUUCAGCAUUGUACCUCAGCUGUUAUCCAAACCUAGUGCCCAGUUGCCAGAUUUUAUGAAAUUGAAGUAAAUUUACUCUCUCAUCACCUUAACUAAAGAAGCCGGAUCCAUUCCUUGGCCAUAAUACGAUGAAGACAAUUUAAUUAUAAAUCACUAAAUUAAGCAAAGGAAAUGGCAACAAGUUCAUUAAUAAUUUAAUAUUAUAUAGUGCAUGCAUUGAUGCAUGUAUAAUUAUAUAAAAGAAGGACUAUAUAUAAGUAGUACUACUUAAUCCACUGUCAGUCUCAAACUCUGUUUUUUUUUUUCAACGGGUUUGAUCAGUCUCAAACUCUCAAUAAACAUUGACUUUGUACGUUGUCUCUGUUAAUUAUAUUAUGUCACAUUGCUUUGUAUAUUUCUUUCAAGAUAUAAUUAACAAAUCUAAUCUCCAUGUUGUUGAAUAGACAUUUAUGCAGGUAGCUGGGAAAUCAAAAAUGUCCCGCCAAAAGUUGAAAAAGAUUUUGCGACCAAAAGUAGAAUCCAUGUUAUGUGAGUAUGGUAUCCCUGAUGAUGAGCGAGCAAAGGUCCUAAGCAGCAUCAACUAUGUGCUAGAAAAGAAACAUAUAGAAGACCCAGAUCUGGUUUUGGAGAAUAUGUCUUCCAUUUUUUCCAUCAAGCAUGAGGUAGAUGAGGGACGUCUACGAGGUGAACUGAAUACUAUCAGAGAGACUCUCUUCUUGGAGAAGUUAAAGCAUGAGGUAGAUGAAAACUCUCUUUUUGGUGUUGAAAUAGCACUCACAAAAUUGCAUCAUCCAUCCUUUACAAAAAGGAAAAACAUAUUGUCCUCUAAACUAAUUCUCUUUUCAUUUUUACGUGCAUGUACAUUUUACCCUAGCUCGAUCUUUCCGGGCUUCAAAUAGACGAAGAGGUGUUGAAGAGGAUCUGUAAGCACCUUGAUCCAGCAAUCUAUCCCAAAGGAAGCUAUAUUAUUCGAGAGGGGGAGCCUGCUGAUAUGAUGUUCUUCAUCACCCAGGGCAUUGCACUCUCGUACACCACUGAACACUACUCAAUGACCAUUACGCGUCUUGAGAGAGGAGAGUGUUACGGUAAAGAGAUUCUACGCUGGGCAGCAACGGCAUCAACCUCCUUUUCUCACUUACCUAUCUCACUCCAUACUGUCAAGGCAC